CAGAAAGGUUUUUGCAGAUUUUGUUUUUCUUUUUUUCCUUUAGUCAAAUGAAAGGGAAAAGGACAAAGGGAGUGGAUAUGAUGGGAUUGAAUUGCCAGGGACAUAAUCAUGGAAAGUGAAUGAAAAUAAAAAGGGGGUAGAGAGAGAGAGAUGAGAUGGGAACGAAGAAGAGGCAAAAGACUGGGAAUGGUGGGGAGCCCAUGAGACGUUUCCAAGAAAGGGAAAACGAAUCUCAACUCUAGAUUUUUUCCCAACCCCACCCUCUGCGCCCUAUAAUCUACAUGCCUCUUUGUUCUUUGUUCUUUUUAUAUUAUUAUAUUUAUAUUUAUAUGGUACCACUCUUCAUUGUCACAAACAAUUAUUCAGCCUUUGUUUUUCGUCAUUCAAUCACCCCAGGAUUGUUACACAGUGACUCUCAUAAAAAGUCUGAUUCAUAGCAUGAGCACUCAAGAUUUAUCAGAGCAACAAAAUGGCUCAGAGAGGGACAUUGAGGAGGAAGAGACAUUGCUCUUGGACCUCAAUUAUCCACCUCCCAGUGACAAUGUAGCUCUGGAGAGCACCUUUACUAGUUCUAGUCCUCUAGAAUUGUAUGCCAAAGAUCAAAGGUGGUCUAAUCCUCAAGCUACAAAUAAUGUUGAUGCGAGUGAUGAUGAUGUUGUUAUUUUAUCCUCUCCAAGGAGUUUCCUUGAGGCCAGAAAGAAUUCCAGGAGGAAUGCUGAGGUGAUAAUGGUGAAUGAUGAUGAUAUAGAAAUGCCAGGGCACCUAGGUAUUGUUUUUGAUGAUAUAGAAAUGCAAGGACACCAAGAGAUUGCUCAACAGAACAAAAUAGAUACCGAUUUGAAGCUAUGCUUGGAACUCUUCAACAAAACUGAGGUCUGCCCCUACUGAAAAUGUUCAAAUACCUACAGAAGUGCCCUCACCAGAGACACCCACCUUCACUUGCCCAAUUUGCAUGGAUCAAUUGACUGAAGAGACAUCAACAAAGUGUGGUCACAUCUUCUGUAAGGAGUGCAUUGAAGGUGCAAUGGCAGUCAGUCAAAGGUGCCCUACUUGCCGGAAAAAACUUAAAAAGAAAGACAUCAUCAGGGUCUACCUUCCAGGCAAGAAAUAAAAUGAAGCCAAUACCCUGUCAUAAUAAGUGUUUUCAUGGUUCAUUUUAGCAUUCAUCUUCCAGUUCUAUGCUUCAUGGUGGGGAGGAGGAAAUGGCAUUUUGGGGGCUUCAGUAUGUGAGAUAUCUUGAUAUUUUUCACCUUUUUGUGAAGUGGUUGGUGGGUCAGAUUGUGUAGGAUGUAUAGAGCCCAGCUUAUCUGGUUUCUUCAAUUGCAAGCUUAGCAUUUCACCAUAAACAUGGUUUCUCCUUUCCAACCUUUACGGCCUUUUUUUUUUCUUUCUUUUCUCUUUUUAUUGGUAUUUGUUGGGAAACGUUUGCUGAUCCCCAAAACACUAAUCCUUUGUAGAGCAAUCUUGUGCAAACAGAAGUGAAAUGAACAGGAUUUGACCUAUGAAA